CCUACGGGCGGCAGCAGUGAGGAAUAUUGGUCAAUGGGCUUACGCCUGAACCAGCCAAGUCGCGUGAGGGAAGACUGCCCUAUGGGUUGUAAACCUCUUUUGUCAGGGAGCAACGCCGGCUACGUGUAGCCGGACUGAGAGUACCUGAAGAAAAAGCAUCGGCUAACUCCGUGCCAGCAGCCGCGGUAAUACGGAGGAUGCGAGCGUUAUCCGGAUUUAUGGGGUUUAAAGGGUGCGUAGGCGGAAUGCCAAGUCAGCGGUAAAAUCGCGGGGCUCAACCUCGCUCCGCCGUUGAAACUGGCGUUCUUGAGUGGGCGAGAAGUAUGCGGAAUGCGUGGUGUAGCGGUGAAAUGCAUAGAUAUCACGCAGAACUCCGAUCGCGAAGGCAGCCUACCGGCGCGCAACUGACGCUCAUGCACGAAAGCGUGGGUAUCGAACAGGAUUAGAUACCCCUGUAGUC
rnacentral:rRNA from 1 species